GAUUUCUUCGUACACUUUUUCAGUGUCUGUGUUAUCCAUUCAAGUAUUUGUGUGUAUAGCAAGAGAAGAAAGAAAGAAAGAAAAAAACAUCUUAGAAUACUCAUCCGGCGAAAUUGGCAAUUUAUAGAUAUCGACAAGUUUGCGGCACAUAUCCAUAUGUACGACGCCCAUAAGGGACAAUUUGACUUCGAAAGUAUAUUUCGGGCCACCAAAUUUAUCCAAGAUGCGUUGUGUGGCCUCAGUGUACAAUUUUUCGGUGUCUGUGUUUAUAUAAAAAGAAUAUGGAAAAAAAUAAAAUUGAAUUUUCGCUUUAUUCCAGGACCUAGGUUGAGUUCUAUUUCCGGGGAUUAAAGCAAAAUAUA